CUCUAAUAAGUAUCCAUACUGUAACUGAGGCUAUAAGGUCUGGGCAGAAUGCAGGGAAAUCUCCCUUUAAUAAGUAUCCAUACUGUAACUGAGGCUAUAAGCUUAAGGUCUGGGCAGAAUGCAGGGAAGUCUCCCUUUAAUA